GUACUCCAACUGAUAUCUGGACUCCCUGAAGCUUAUCGUAGUGUGGCCACCCUGAUUCGCCAGAGUAAUCCUCUUCCUGCAUUUUAUCAGGCUCGCUCCAUGCUCACCUUGGAAGAAGCUGGCAUGGCUAAAAUGGCUAACACCGGCUCUCCUGCUGCCUUACACACCACUCAGCAGUGACCUCCUGAGGAUACCUCUCAACGUGGCAACCGUCGUCCCAACAACCCCAACAACCGGUCUCGCUCUCGUGGCAAUCAGGGUCGCGGAGGGGGGCGUGGUAACCGUAGCGGACCUCAGUCUGGAGCUCCCAACACCUCCCCACCCUGGUCUUCUCCUCCUUGGCCGCAGCAAUAACAAUACCCUGCCUGGCAAUCAUGGGGUUGGACCCCACCACCAUGGGCCAUACCUCCGUGUCCGUAUCCCACAUCUUAGUGGACACGCCCUACUGGCCGUACCGCUCCUCCGAGACAGUCGGCCAUCCUAGGACAGCGUCCUCAGGCGUAUGCAGCUUCUACUUCAUCUCCUACACCAACUGACAUUGAGGCAGCUAUGCACACCAUGUCUCUACAUCCUCCUGAUACUCAGUGGUACAUGGAUACCGGCGCAACAUCUCACACGACAGCAUCACGAGGUAAUCUCUCAUCUUAUUCUCCUAUAAGUCAUUUAAAUCAGAAAAUUAUUGUUGGCAGUGGCCAUGGAAUUCCAAUUCACGGCACCGAACACACACAACUCACAACCUCUAACCAACCCAUUCACUUAAAACAUGCCCUUCAUGCCCCAAAAAUUAUUAAAAAUUUAAUCUCUGUAAGACAACUCACCACUGACAACAAUGUAUCUGUUUCUUUUGACCCUUUUGGUUUUACUGUCUCUGAUUUUCAGACGGGGAUUCCUCUUCUCAGAUGUAAUAGUCGUGGCGACCUAUAUCCAGUCACCCCUCCCAACAAUUUUGUCGAUCUUACGUCCAGUCUAUGGCACGAUCGUCUUGGUCAUCCUGGCGUGUCUGUUUUAAAUUCCCUACGCAAGAAUAAAUUCAUAUGUUGUGAAACUUCUCAUAAUUCUGUCAUCUAUGACUCGUGUGUUUUAGGCAAACAAGUUAAAUUGCCAUUUUUUAAUUCUCAAACUGCUACUCUCAUGCCUUUUGAUAUUUUACAUAGUGACUUGUGGACUUCUCCUGUUUUAAGUUCUGCUGGCCAUAAAUAUUAUGUUUUAUUUUUAGACGACUUCACAAAUUUCUUGUGGACUUUUCCUAUUAGUAGAAAAUCUCAGGUUUUUGAAAUGUUCAAGUCACUUACUUCUCUUAUUCACACUCAAUUUUUGCAAAAUGUAAAAUCCUUCCAAUGUGACAAUGGCGGUGAAUAUAAUAAUGAGCUAUUUCAACAAUAUUGUAUUACUAAUGGCCUUAUUUUUCGCUUCUCUUGCCCUCACACAUCCUCCCAAAAUGGUAAAGCGGAACGAAAAAUAAGAACCAUUAAUAAUAUGAUUCGCACUAUGCUAGCUCACUCUUCUGUUCCCCCACAAUUUUGGCAUCAUGCACUUCACAUGGCAACUUAUUUGCUAAAUAUUCUUCCCUGUAAAACACUUCAAAAUCAAUCACCAACACAGCUCCUUUACCACCGUGAUCCCAGCUACACACAUUUACGAGUCUUUGGUUGUUUGUGUUAUCCAUUACUCCCAUCACCUACCAUUCAUAAAUUACAACCCCGUUCUACUCCGUGUGUCUUCUUAGGUUAUCCCCUGAAUCAUAGAGGUUACAAGUGUUUUGAUUUGUCUAACAGAAAGUUAAUAAUUUCGAGGCAUGUUAUCUUUGAUGAAACUCAAUUUCCCUUCACCAAAGUACACUACCCUUCCCCUCACUCCUAUGACUUUCUAGACAAUGACCUACACCCCUACCUCAUACAACAGUGGCAAACUCAACAUCCACCACCGGAUACUCCUAACCAACAACCAGCAACAACCACAAUGGCCAAACCAAUCGACCCAACUCCACUAAAUUCACAUACUACAAUCUCCCCUACCUUAACCUCACCAAUUCAACCACAUCCUCCACCACCUACCCGCACCAUCAUCACCCGUAGCAUGAAUGGUAUUACUAAACCCCGCACAAUGUUUAACUUAUCCCUUUCACACUCAAACCACACCAUCUCUCCCAUACCUAAAAAUCACAAACUAGCCUUAUCGUACCCGAAUUGGAAAUCCGCAAUGCAAUCUGAGUUUGAUGCACUUAUUAGAAAUAAGACGUGGGAUUUAGUUCCUCGCCCUAGAGAUGCUAAUCUUAUUCGAUGUAUGUGGAUUUUUAAACAUAAGAAAAAUUUUGAUGGGUCUUUUGAUCGCUAUAAGGCUCGCCUUGUUUGUGAUGGCAGGUCACAGGUUGCAGGUGUGGAUUGUGAUGAGACUUUCAGCCCGGUGGUAAAACCCGCUACCAUUCGAACAGUACUCACCAUUGCUCUCUCUCACUCAUGGCCCAUUCAUCAGCUGGAUGUUCAGAAUGCUUUUUUUGCAUGGUGAUCUUCACGAAACUGUCUACAUGCAUCAACCAUUGGGUUUUCGCGACUCUUGUCAUCCGGAUUACGUUUGUCGUUUGAAGAAGUCGCUUUAUGGUCUCAAGCAAGUGCCUCGAGCAUGGUACCAACGCUUUGCUGACUAUGUAACUACCAUUGGUUUUCGACAUAGCACAUCAGAUCAUUCUCUCUUCAUAUACCGACAGCAAUCCGACAUGGCCUACAUUCUGCUGUGGACGACAUCAUCCUUAUUACUUCCACUCAUGCCCUUCGCCAAUCCAUUAUGUCCCUCUUGGCAUCCGAGUUUGCAAUGAAGGAUUUGGGUCCUCUGAGCUAUUUUUUGGGUAUUGCCGUCUCUCGUCAUCCUGGUGGUCUCUUUCUCAGUCAAAGCACCUAUGCCUCUGAAAUCAUUGACCGUGCUGGGAUGCAAUCUUGCAAAUCAUCUGUCACCCCUGUUGACACUAAACAAAAACUCAGCACUUCAUCAGGCACACCUUAUGAAGAUCCAUCUCUCUAUCGUAGUCUUGCAGGAGCUUUACAAUACCUCACAUUCACUAGACCCGACAUCUCUUACGCUGUUUAGCAAGUUUGUCUUCACAUGCAUGCACCUAGUACAGAACACAUGCUUGCUCUAAAUCUCAUUCUUCGUUAUGUUCAGGGUACCGUACAUUUUGGACUACAUUUAUCACCAUCUCCCAUCACCAAACUCCUUUCCUACACUGACUCCGAUUGGGGUGGAUGUCCUGACACCCGACGUUCCACUUCUGGAUACUGUGUCUUUCUCGGUGACAACCUCAUCGCUUGGUCCUCCAAGAGACAACCCACUCUCUCUCGGUCUAGUGCUGAAGCGGAAUAUAGAGGUGUUGCUAAUGUUGUGUCUGAGUCAUGUUGGCUUCGUAAUCUCUUACUGGAGCUCCACUUUCCUAUUCCUCAGGCUACUUUGGUGUAUUGUGACAAUGUUAGUGCCAUCUACCUAUCUGGCAACCCUGUGCAGCAUCAACGUACCAAACACAUUGAAAUGGACAUACACUUUGUACGGGAAAAAGUAGCUCGUGGUCAGGCACGCGUCCUCCAUGUUCCAUCUCGACAUCAGAUUGCAGAUAUCUUCACCAAAGGGCUUCCUCGCAUUCUCUUUGAUGAUUUUCGGACCAGUCUCAGCGUCCGUGAACCUCCCGCUUCGACUGUGGGGGUCUGAUAGAAUAUUAUAUUUAAUAAAAUUAAUAGAAUAGAAUAUUCGGUCAUUAUUGGCUAUUAUUAGUUCCCUGUAAAUAGGCUGUAUCAUAAUUNUCGGUCAUUAUUGGCUAUUAUUAGUUCCCUGUAAAUAGGCUGUAUCAUAAUUAGUAAGUUGAUCAGACGUUACACAACAGUUGUAUAUAUUCUAUUUAGAUCAAUGAGAAAGGCAAGCAUUUUGUUAUCUUACAUGGUAUCACUCCUAACCGAUCCCUCUCUCUAAAUAUAUAUAUAUAUAAAAAAAAAAAAAAAAAGAGAGAAAGAAAGAAAAACAGAAGUCGUAGAACUCUGUUCUCCUUCUUCUCACGCACGCGCAGCGCCGCCGCACCCCUCCCUCUUACCUUGCGCCGCCGCCGCCUCUGUUGCCCUGUAAUCCGAUCGACCUCCGAUCCUUGACCAGCAGUGCUCGUGCGUCACUUCCUCCACUUCGACCGUGCCCACCGCGCCGUCGUCGCCCCCUUUCUCAAUCUGGUUGUGUUUCACCUCCGAUCACCUCCGUUUCUCUUCUUUCCGUGCUGUUCUACCUUAACCAUCACUCAUCAUGUCCGAUUCCGACCUCAAUGAUGACCAGAGCAGCGCCGCCGCUGCCUCUGCCUCCGCUGCUGCCGCUGCCUCCGCCGCUGUCAAUUCGACCAUUUUCAAAAAUGGCUUUCAUCCCGCUCUUGCUGUCUCCAAUAUUAGGAAUCACAUUCCUAUUAUUCUUGAGAUGGAAAAGGACCAAUAUGGAACUUGGGCGGAACUCUUCUGCAUUCAUGCUCGUUCUCAUCGAGUAUUGCAUCACAUUGUUCCCUCUGCAGACAAAACACCGCCACUACCUGCAAACGUCGAAUAUGAGCAAUGGACUACUCUAGAUGCCACCGUGCUUCAGUGGAUUUAUUCCACAAUUUCCACUUACUUACUGAUGACUAUUUUGGAACCAAACUCCACUGCGGUAGCCGCAUGGAAUCGUUUGGCAGACAUCUUUCAAGACAAUCAAAACGCCCGUGCUGUCACUCUCGAGCAAGAGUUCUCCAACACCCGCAUGGAAGACUUUCCCAACGUCUCUGCAUACUGCCAGUGUCUCAAGAUGCUCUCUGACCAAUUGAGGAAUGUCGGCUCUCCCGUCAACAAUCACCGUCUGGUACUCCAACUGAUAUCUGGACUCCCUGAAGCUUAUCGUAGUGUGGCCACCCUGAUUCGCCAGAGUAAUCCUCUUCCUGCAUUUUAUCAGGCUCGCUCCAUGCUCACCUUGGAAGAAUCUGGCAUGGCUAAAAUGGCUAACACCGGCUCUCCUGCUGCCUUACACACCACUCAGCAGUGACCUCCUGAGGACACCUCUCAACGUGGCAACCGUCGUCCCAACAACCACAACAACCGGUCUCGUUCUCGUGGCAAUCAGGGUCGCGGAGGGGGGCGUGGUAACCGUAGCAGACCUCAAUCCGGAGCUCCCAACACCUCCCCAUCCUGGUCUUCUCCUCCUUGGGCGCAGCAACAACAAUACCCUGCCUGGCAAUCAUGGGGUUGGAUCCCACCACCAUGGGCCAUACCUCCGUGUCCGUAUCCCACAUCUCAGUGGACACACCCUACUGGCCCUACCGCUCCUCCGAGACAGCCGGGCAUCCUAGGACAGCGUCCUCAGGCGUAUGCAGCUUCUACUUCAUCUCCUACACCAAUUGACAUUGAGGCAGCUAUGCACACCAUGUCUCUACAUCCUCCUGAUACUCAGUGGUACAUGGAUACCGGCGCAACAUCUCACACGACAUCAUCACGAGGUAAUCUCUCGUCUUAUUCUCCUAUAAGUCAUUUAAAUCAGAAAAUUAUUGUUGGCAGUGGCCAUGGAAUUCCAAUUCACGGCACCGUACACACACAACUCACAACCUCUAACCAACCCAUUCACUUAAAACAUGUCCUUCAUGCCCCGAAAAUUAUUAAAAAUUUAAUCUCUGUAAGACAACUCACCACUGACAACAAUGUAUCUGUUUCUUUUGACCCCUUUGGUUUUACUGUCUCUGAUUUUCAGACGGGGAUUCCUCUUCUCAGAUGUAAUAGUCGUGGCGACCUAUAUCCAGUCACCCCUCCCAACAAUUUUGUCGGUCUUACGUCCAGUCUAUGGCACGAUCGUCUUGGUCAUCCUGGCGUGUCUGUUUUAAAUUCCCUACGCAAGAAUAAAUUCAUAUGUUGUGAAACUUCUCAUAAUUCUGUCAUCUGUGACUCGUGUGUUUUAGGCAAACAAGUUAAAUUGCCAUUUUUUAAUUCUCAAACUGCUACUCUCAUACCUUUUGAUAUUUUACAUAGUGACUUGUGGACUUCUCCUGUUUUAAGUUCUGCUGGCCAUAAAUAUUAUGUUCUAUUUUUAGACGACUUCACAAAUUUCUUGUGGACCUUUCCUAUUAGUAGAAAAU
rnacentral:lncRNA from 1 species